rnacentral:miRNA from 1 species
UUCAUGCGCUUGGAGCGU